rnacentral:misc_RNA from 1 species
GAUGAAGAACGUAGCAAAAUGCGAUAAGUAGUGUGAAUUGCAGAAUUCAGUGAAUCAUCGAAUCUUUGAACGCACAUUGCGCCCGCCAGUAUUCUGGCGGGCAUGCCUGUUCGAGCGUCAUUUCAACCCUCAAGCCCCCGGGCUUGGUGUUGGGGAUCGGCGUGCCCUCGCGGCGCGCCGUCCCCUAAAUCUAGUGGCGGUCUCGCUGUAGCUUCCUCUGCGUAGUAGCAACACUCGCACUGGAUCGCAGCGCGGCCACGCCGUUAAACCCCCCACUUCUGAAAGUUUGACCUCGGAUCAGGUAGGAAUACCCGCUGAACUUAAGCAUAUCAUAAGCGGAGGA